GAAGGCUUUGCUCCGCGCAUUAACACGAUGAAGUGUUGCUCGGAGC
rfam:Pseudoalteromonas piscicida strain S2040 contig0027, whole genome shotgun sequence.